AGCUUUGCACAGUGACAGUAUUGUAGCCAAUGAGGUUUAUCCAAGGCAUGAUUAUUGAUUCUGAAACUGAAACUUUUCCCAAUACCCUGGAUGACAACUUGCACUGUAGUUGGCAAUGGCAAUUUUUGAUGGUAUCUAGGGAGA